CUCAAAAUUCCUGUUACUUCUUGAUUAGCUGAACUUCUUGUCUCCAUUUAUCAAUGGGAACAAAAUAACUUUUCAAUUUUAAGAUUCCCUCUUUCCCCCAGGACCAUGGCCUUUGGACUACUUUCUGUCUGAGCCCUAUCAAACCAUUCUGAGAACAUGGACUCAGCUAUUCAUUUCUGCUGCUGUAGCCUGAAUGCAGCCAUUGACAGGACAUGAAGCAAUGAGUACUGCUCAGAGCCACUACAACUUUCAAAAGUAGGCAUCAGCCAAAAUCCUGAGGCUGAAAUUCAGUGGCAACAACAAUACAGGAACCAAGAGUUAUGCCAUCAUCCACAACUCAUAGAAGGAAAGCCUUUCCUACAAAAAGAACUGAGGACCAAAGAUGG